rnacentral:rRNA from 1 species
UGGUGGAGCGAUUUGUCUGGUCAAUUCCUAUAACGAACGAGACUCUAGCCUACUAAAUAGUUCGGGGACCCCCACAAAGGGGCCCCGCUUCAACUUCUUAGAGGGACAGGUGGCGUUUAGCCACACGAGAUUGAGCAAUAACA